GUAAUUUCUAACCCUACCUGCUCUAAUUCCCUCACUCUGGAUAAAAGCGUCUAAAUUGUCUAUAUGUAACUGGGAUAUUAUGGGAUGGGCUGGGAGUCCCAUCUGGCCCGGCCCUGAGCUAGGAGCCAAGGCGCUACCCAGAAGGCACUCUGUUGUGGCGUGAUGCGGGAGCGUUGUCGAGGAGACGUGGGGAGACAUCCUGCCCGGGGAGAGAGAUGAGGAGGAGGAGAGGUCCCUCACGGCAUCACAGGCUGGAGGUGGUGGUGCAGACUGGGCUCCAUGGACCAGAGCUCACAGCUCCACGGUGAUGACACAUGAAGGUCCAGGUGGGGGGGGAUGCUGACGGGGAAACGACAGCUAGUAGAAUCUAUCAGCUGGGAGUCGUUACACGUCCUCUAUCUCACUUCCCCUUUUACCAUUUCAUCGGAAUCCCGGCCAUUUGAAUAGUAAAAUAGGCAUUCAUUCAUUCAACCAUUCAUUCAUUCAUUCAUUCAUUCAUUCAUUCAUUCAUUCAUUCAUUCAUCCAUUCAUUCCGUAGCCUCCACAGUUCUGUUCCAGAGUGAGAGCUCUCUGACUGUUGGGGAAACAAUCCGAAAGUCACUGAAGGCUUUCCAUACGCUGUAGAUGGUGCAUAGUAGGUAGGGGUUAGACAGUUCACAGACAGAUCAUUAAGGAGGAGGUAGGAUGUAUGUCUGAAUGUGUGAAAGGGUUUAUAGAUAGACAGACACACAGACAGAUCAGGUCAGUGAGAGAGAGAGAUCAUGACAGAAAGACAGCUAGAUUAUGACAGACAGGCAGACAGACAGAUAGACAGGAAGUCUGAGAGGGAGAACAUGACACAGUCUCCUUCCUGUUGCGACCAUAGAGGGAGCAACAGCUAACAACCAAAUGAUUUACAUAGAGGCUGCCCAGUAUAUUUACUCUGAGACGCUGCUUAUUUAAAUACCAACAGCAGGUCAGCAGACAGUUAAGAUUCAUCCGGACAAAUGUUUACUACGACCAGCAGCUAAAGAGCCGUUUCAUGUUGAUCUUAAAGCGUGCGCUUUGCUCAUAAAUAAGAGAGAGUGGGACAACUCACUUUGUCCCACGGUCCAAACAUCCUGACAUCUUGCCAAAGUCCCCACAAGAGAAGGUAUUUAUGGCUGUAGAAAAGGCCAAAGACGGCCACCAUUAGUGAGGUAUCACUAAACUAACCAUGUUUGACAUUAAGCUUGUCGGGCUAGCGCUAAAGCAGUUAUGUCGUUAAAGAGAUCCUGUCCAGCAGUGAACCGGCUUCUGUGUGGGUUCAGCUCAUUAAAGGAAUCCAUCUCCUGCUCGUUCACACUGCUGCUGCUGCAGAGAGAGCUCAGCGGCUAUCUCCGUAGUCUGAAAACUGUAUCCUCCCUCCGCAACACAGAGCUCUGUCAGAACCACUCCAAACAUAGAGUUCACCGUCACAAACCACGACAAACCAUUCGAUCCGCCUGUGUGUAAUUAAUGCAAGUUCAAAGUUUGAACAGGGUCAGGAGCCGCGGGGCUGUGGUGCCCAGGGGAGGGGAUUCUAUUGGAAUGCGGCCGGUGUGUGAAGUCAGACAGAUUAGCUUCUCUGUGUUCCUGCGCUCACCUAGCCCAUAGCCGGCCGCUAAGCUAGCAGAGAUUUACAUACCGUUGAAGUAGCAUAAUAGCAACGGCGUUGGGUGGCCUCCUACACGCACACACCUAGCAGACGGGCGUCACAGCCUUCCCUCAGACAGCAUCACAGCCCAUUCAGCCCAGGUUUACCCAGGCUAGCGCGCUAAUCACGUUAACAUUUCUAGAAGGCAUUCCCAGGCUCACAGUAACUGCCGGCAGCAGGCUAGCUACUGAUGGCGCUAUGCUAGCUACUGAGGUUUAGUACUGGCGCUAUGCUAGCUACUGAGGUUUAGUGCUGGCGGCGCUAUGCCAGCUACUGAGGUUUAGUGCUGGCGCUAUGCUAUCUACUGAGAUUUAGUGCUGGCGCUAUGCUAGCUACUGAGGUUUAUUGCUGGCGGCGCUAUGCUAGCUACUGAGGUUUAUUGCUGGCGCUAUGCUAGCUACUGAGGUUUAGUGCUGGCGCUAUGCCACUAAAAAUGAGAAUCAAAGUAAAUGACUUUGGUGAAAGUCAGUUCAGUCAUCUCAUGAUGACUCAAUUACAUCACAGACAGACAGACGGACGGACGGACGGACAGACGGACAGACGGACAGACGGACAGACACACAGACAGACACACAGACAGACACACAGACAGACAGUGCAGAGACCACCAGGUCCUCCCUGAAGAUAGUCUGGCAUCACCAACGGCCCAACAACGGUGGACUCCUGCCUGGCUUUGGGUUCCAUGUCAGGGUCCAGGAUUCGGAGGACAAGCAGGAGGAGGUGCCCGGCCUUAACCCC
ensembl:lncRNA